UAUUUUUCCACGUCCAAGUCAAUCAUGUUAAAUUGUAUGAAAAAUAAUAUUAAUAUGCAACUAAAACAGGUUUAAAUGAAAUGUUUUACCUUACUGGAAGCAAAUUGGUUAUUGAAGUUAAAUAAAGUAAAGGCAGUUUUGCUCUUUUCCGAAUGAAUAUUGCUGAAAUUGUCAAAUUUCCAUGAAGUUGAGUUGUCUUUUAUUUAGUUGGAACACACAUAAACUGAUUAUUAACAUUGAUACUUUAGCUGAACUUUCAAACUUUUUGAUCUUCAUUUGUACAUGUAGAUAACACCAGCAACAAUUCAGCUCAGACCACAUUCAGAAAGUCACAGCCUUUUUUCCUCUUCAGCUAUCUUUCCCUCACAAAAAAAGUCACUGGCAUCUACGGAUAGCAAGUUUUUCUAACAAAAAUACGUGAACGUAUUCCUAUGACAUACCAGUGGCUGUUUAUCAUCACUUCUUUCUGGUAACAGUUACUUUGUCCAUUCUCUCAGUCAGAAUUGCACAAAGCCCCUUUUGAGUACAAUGAUACCCUGUGCUCUUGGACUUUCCUCACCUUUUCAUCCUUAUAGAUUUCUUAUUCUGAAGUAAUUAUGCAGCCUAUGGUAGGUGUUCCUUUAGACCAGGAGUACUGACAUCUUUCCCAGCUCUGCUCUACUAAAGACUAAGGAUCCUCAACUUUCUGAUACUUCCACAUUUCAUCCCUUUACCCCUUAUCCUUCCAAUCUCUGCAUUCUUUCCUCAUCUGCUUUCACAUUCAUGUGCCCAGUAUCCUUACCUCCUUCUCCUGUCGCUGUUCUGACGUUUCUCUGAUCCUAGGCUUACCCAGUUCAGUUAGCUAAACUCAGAACAAGAGAGAAUAAUGCGUUUGUUUAAAAAACUGAACCAGCUUAAUAAAAACUAGAUAAGCAAGUACAAGGGAAAGUCUUUUCCCUUCUUGUCAGGAGCCAGCUGUUUGCUUGGCUAUGUCUAACACAACUUGUGAGGCUGUGGAUGCUGAUGCACAUUUAUCAUCUUGUGAUUUGUGGGCAGCCUUCCUUCCCUCCUUUCAAUGUGCAAAGGAGAAGACACAACACAGUACCAUUCAAAGUUGGUUAGCGGGUCAUUCAGCUGUGCCUGGCAUGAGAAUUGACUGACAUUUACCUCUUCUGCCCUCUUUCACUCCCUAAAAACACACCACUGAGACCAGACAGCUAUUGUAUCUACCUUCAUUCUUUUAGAAGUCUCUGGCAUGACAAAAAAAAGUCGAGGAAAAAAAUUGGAUUUUUUUUCAUCUAUUCCUCCCUUCCACCCACAAAUCUGCUGUUUAACCCACACAUGUUCAGAUACAUUCCUAUAUACUUCUGAAAUGCUGCAGUAGACCACACUGUUAAAAAUUUAGUGAUCUUAAGUCAUAUACAACAGUAAUUUUCACCAUCUUCUCAUGCCUUAAAUUCCUUUCCAUAUAUCAAGAUGUCACAGUCUCUCUUCUCUCCCAUAAUCCAUUCUUGUUGACUAAUCUAGGUCACUGUGUUUCUCCUCCAUCCCUCCCCAGCUGCCAAAUGUCAACUUGCUGAAGGGAAUUUGGCUGUGGAGUGAUAUGUCAGUUAUGUUGUGAAAUGACUGGACUCUGAUCUUAAUUUCCAACUGGUAUAUUCAGAGAAAUUCCUAACUUCAACUUUACCCCAUUGAUAGAUCUGGCCCUGACUUGACACGUGGAAUACAUGAAACUACUCCAUAGAUAGGAGUAAAUAUAAGGACCAUCCUUCUUCUAACCAAAUAAUAUUACAGCAUGGUUUUGAUAAGCCAAGAACAAGGUAUUUGCUUCAGUCAAUUUUAAAAGAAAAGAAAAAAGCUUAGUCUCAGAGAAAUCAAGCUCUGAAUAAGAAAAUUCCCAAUUUUUAUUCCUGCUCUUCAAGAAAGUUUUCUGCCUGCAGCCUGCUGCCCAAUGACUUCCCACUCAGCCCCCUAGGUGAAGUACAGUCCAAAACAACUUACAUCUACAGCUGAACCAUGAUUCUCAUUUCAACCAAAGAUAACAUUCAGAGUAGACAUUGCAGUCGUGGUAGCUAGAUUAACCUCUUCUUUGUCAGCUCUCAAAGUGGCUGUGCAUCUCUGCAUGCUAGGUUAAGAUGAUACUGAUUACUCCCAAGAAACACAGCAAGGACAAAGGAAGCUUGUAAAGACAGCAACAUAUGCCAGGAAGAACAUUCUCUCUUCUACAGCAAAUUCUUACACUUUUUACCCUGCUAGCACAAUAACAGCUUUUUUCCUGCCUCAGCAAAAACUCUCCAUGUUCACGGAAAGCGGAAGCUAAUUUUAAACUAGGUAAGAAAAAACACCAUUACUUUUUCUCCCCCGAGCUAUUCAGUAGUACAAGUGAAGAUUAACUGGAAGACUAGGAGAAAGAAAACAUACAGGUAGUUAAGCAAUCUUAUCUUUAGAUGACCUCUGUUAACCUCAUUUGUUGCCAAAAUCAACAUAAACACAAGUUCUGCAUAUUUAGACAACAAAAACACCAUACCGGGUACUUUUAAUCUUUAUCUUGUAUCAAAUUUGCCAAGAAAAACUGGAAGCUUUGCAUGAUUUUAUGGGUGCAUUUCAAAGCUCAGUUAGAUAAUCACGCUUCAUGUACAGGAAGUUUCAGUUUCUUGUCAGGAUCAGCUGUUAUUCUCUUUACUCAAAGAAAACUUCCACAUAGCUUUGUCUAUCACCAUAAUGCCACAAAAAUUAAUACAUCUAUAGGAGAACUAACAACAUAAGUACUGGGAUACAUUUUUAGGACCUUCGCUGCCUCAGUUUUAUAGACUGAGAUGUUACUCAAUCAUAGAUUAAUUCCUUCUGAGAAUUCAAAUAUCUAUGUAAACUUUGUGUGACAAAGCUGGGAUUAUUAGCAGAAAUGCUUUAACUAUGUAGGUACAUAUAUGCUCAGGCACAUAGUAACCUUGGUGUCUGCUUACAUUUUUCAGCCUUUUGAGUACUAAGAGAAUGCAGUUCCACAUUCCUACUAUAGAAAGCCUGGCCUCAAACAGCAAGAUGCAACACCUGGAAAUACCAAGAUUCAGUCAUGAUCAGCUGCCACAGAGAUGAGUACAAUUUGUCUCACUCCAUGUCCACUGGCUGUCACUGAGCAGUUAAUUCAGUUUUGGCAGACCUCUCUGACCAUAGCCAUACAAGCAGAAAGGAGAGCAUCCUACAGCAAGUAGCAUCUAUUUCAUGGUUGCAUUUCACAUAAAGCAAUUACUGAGAUUGAAAUGUUUGGUAACAUUAUAAACAAUGUAAGAGGGAACAGCUGAAGUUAAAGAUCCCACUUCUAAUUGCUAUACCAGCAUGAGAGGUUAUUUUUAAAGAGGUACUUGACAUCCAGGUGACUUUUCACAAAGAAAAGGCAUACUGGUGCAUAUAAGAAGCCAGGAAGCUGAGAUAGUGACAAGUCUAGCUAGACAAAGCUAUACAUGGGACAGGAUGAAGGUCAGAAGGCAAGACAGAGAAGAGAAGCCUGGAAACCAAUUGAUCAAUCUACAGGACACUGUUCUGUAGACACUCGCUGGCUUGUGAAGCACGUUGUGCAACUCUCAGAAGAAGGUGACACCAGCUGGACUUAACGUUACCAGGACUACCAUCUUCCAGGAAUCAAACCAGACCCAAACUAUCCUCAAAAUAUACCAAGUCUUCCAAAUGAAACAUUAACAUAUUCUUCAUUCUGAAGAAAGUGUGCACACUUCAGAUUCAGCUAAGAAACAACUAAGGAAAAGGUGAAAGAAAACUCUCCCUGGAUCUUCCUGUGAUUUUCAGUUGCAGCUAGGUGGCCAGUUCCUCAGAUUCCAUCACCUAUAAAAAUGCAAAAAAAACCAAAUGGGUGACUACUUACCUGUUCACCAAAUGAGCUUAAGAAAAUCUGUUCAGUAUUGCGAUCACAGUCACGAUGUAGUAUCAACUAAAUAUUAGACUACAAAAUCUUUUAAUUUUCCCAGAGCACAAAUCAUGUGAGAUUGCUUACACUUCUUCUAAGAUUUAUGUUUAUUUUCUUGUACUAUGGCUUGUCAGUAAUGCACAGGUUUUAGGUUUUAGAAACAGUGCCCUGCAGUACCAAUAGGAAUUACUUCUAUGGUGCGUUGUUCCUAAUAUUUCUGUUUUUCUUGUGAAGAAAAAUCUCAUGUUCCAUAUAAGUGAUAAGUUCACUGAUAUUCUAUCAACAAGCCUGAUUUCCCAAUGGAAAAUAAUUCUCACGGAAGCACUUACUAUCAACAUCCUUGCAUGUUUUAUUUCCUCUUCCCAGUAAACUCUGCACUUACAGAAGACUGCAGCUUACCCCCUCCAGAAGCAGAUCAAAAUAACACCACUGAGAAGCUGGCACAGAAACAAAAAAAAGCAAGAAUGAACAGCUGAGGUUGGGUAAAGGAAGGGCAUAGGGAAGUAGAUGUUCAAGAGAAAGUAUGGUGAAAUGAAUGUCUGAAAACUGCUGUUUCAUAUGCUAAGCUUAGUGGGAUCCGGGAUACGUGCUGUCAUUGCUUCAGAAUAUGAACAGUUAAGUGUAAUGCACACAAAGCAGCUGCUUUAGUUGAGUUUAAGUGACCAUCCUAAUUCUAUUUAUAGAUUUUAUCUUUUGCUUAAAAAAUUUCCUGUGUCAACCUUAGUUUGUAGUUUCAAGGAACAGCAAAAUGAGUUUGAUUCUCAGAAACUGCAAAGACUGACAACGCAACCAAGUUUGUCAAAUUUUCAAUUCUCAAAUAGAAAAGAGUGCCGUAUAAAGGACUGAGUGACCUACAAUUCUUAAGCAACUCUUAAAACAAAAAUAUCAGGAAAGAGAUGAUAAACAGAGAACAGUGCAUUCAGGAAAACACUGCACUUCAGCAGUCAUUUUCACAAGUUGAAGCAUACAUCAAGUGUAUAUGAAUCUGCAAGUACAAUACACAUAGUAAUAAAGCAUUAUUGCUGCAGAUCAUAAGAUCCAGUUACAUUUUCAGAAUGUUUCGUUAGACUUUUAGUCCAUUUUCAGAAUUUCAUUAGUUUGAUUUCUCUUUAUAUGAAACAGCAGAUUCAAAGCAUCACAGAAUGUUCUCUGUAUUUUUACAUGCAUAGGAAAUCAGUAUUUUUCUCACGCUAACUGUUAGCUUCCUUUACAGAAGGGGAACAAAAAAGCAGAUCUAAGACCUAACCAAUCAACCACUGCUUGCAAGGCACAAUGAAUCAUAUACAGCCUUUGUUGGUACUUCUAACAAAGAUUUGUUAUAAUCUGAUGACCCAUAUAUCACUAGAAACCGGUGCUCAAAUAUUUAGCUGAGCUGGAAUGUCAUAGACCAAAAAAGUGAAUGAUAGUACAGUAUUGACAAGUAAAUAUGUAACAAACAUUCCAGUAACCAUCACUAUCUAAUUCUAUAGCUUUUCCUAUAACUGUUGUAAUCUAGAAAGCAAGUACAGCACAGAUUAAUGCAGUCCUAGUCUGAAAGCUUGGUUUACAAUCUCAGCAGCCAAAAGACAUAUAUAUCAACAAUGGGAGUUCUGGUUUAUCAAAUCCAAAGAUAGAUCUAUUAUGCCAAUUUUUAAAUUUUUUAUUCUUUUUUUCUUGUUUCAUCUGCAUAUAACAGUGUGGAGUGUAAUGCUGGUUUAGGAAAGUGAGAAAAAACAGGAGCAAUAGCACUAAAAAUGAAUGUUGUUUGUCGCACAAGAAGGAAUACUCCCUUUAAGGUCAGAAUUUCAAAAUCCAUCAAGCUGAAUUUCUUAAUAAAUGAUUGCAUGAAGAUGCUCUGACAGCCCCAUUUAACAUGUGCCUGGCUUUUGCAAAUGCAACAGUAUAAUUAAAGAGUAGUUUGAACAAAUGUUACAAAAGUUAGGUCAUGCAGUACCUAGAACUGGUGAGGAAAACAGACUAUUAUAGCUAAACUUCAGUUUGCUUUCUCCUUGCAUUUAUUACAUAGGUUGAGGUAUUCUUUUUAAAGAUAAAGCAUUGAAAUCCAUAUUCAAAUCCAAGACUGCUUCAUCCCUGUGAUAGGAGAGGUGAAAAGUAAUGCACUUUAUGCUCAGUAAGUGUACCUAGUGUUUUUAGGCAUGUUAAUUUUUCCUACACAUUCAAAGAAAUCUCCUUUACUAUCCAUCAAAAAGUAACAAGAAAGAUUCAGUGAUGGCUGAAUUUGACCUGAUUUCUAUCUGCUUUUUAAUAUUUGUAGAAGAGAAUCUUCUUUACUGUGAGAGUGAUGGAGCACUGGAACAGGCUGCCCAGAGAGGUAGUGGAGUCGUCUUCUCUGGAGAUAUUUGAGACCUGUCUGGAAGCCUUCCUGUGUAACCUUUUGUAGGGAACCUGCUUUAGUAGGGGGUUGGAUGUGAUGAUCUCUAGAGGUCCUUUUCAACCCCUACAGUUAUGUGAUUCUGUGUGAUAGAAUAUCUGCAGUUACACAUAGAACGUUUGAGUUGCAUUCAUUAGAACUCUCUUCAGUAAAAUUCAAGACAUUCAGUUUGAGGAACUUUCUAUCAUGAUUUUUUAAUUACAAAUAGAACUAAAAAAAUUAACAUUGUAAGAAGCAUUACCUGUGGAGCUCUAGAGCUGUGAACUAAUUCCUAGCCUGCUCAGAAUUAGGUCACUAAAACAGACAAGGUCCCCAGCAUUCUGUUUGUCCAGUACCAAAAGAAAGAAGCCAGAGACUCCUGGGAGACACUCCUUAAGCUUUUCUUGCUCUUGGCCACAAGAAUUUUCUAGUCCACAGCAUCAAUAGGAAGCAUAGGAAGUCCCUUCAUUCUUACACAGUGUAUAUAUAACCUAAUGACUGGGCUACAGUCCAAGAAGAUGGAUGAUAGGGAUUUGAAUCUCUCACAUAAGUUUUGCAUCUUGUAUACCAAGACACUCAUUCAGAUUCCUUUGGUGUAAACACAAAGGCUCAUCUGCAAGAAAACCAGAUUUGUUUCUCAGGCUUAAUGUAGUAGGUUUAGAUGUCAUCAGAACACAGGCAGACACACUGCCUUCUGCUCCUGAAACAGCUUCCUGCACCAAUCACGCAAGCUACUGGACAUAACCAGAACUGCUUGCAACAUGAGGCCAAACUCUCAAAUUUGUCACUGCAGAACGUCUGGGCAAGAGCUUCAGGAGCCUCUUUCCCUAGCAAGUGUCUUCUCUAUGGUAGUGUUUUAUACAAACAAACGUCAUUUUGUCUAAAUCAUCCUCAGAAGGCUUUAAUUAUAAGCUUAUUGCAGCUGCCUCUCUUAAAACGAAAUUUUUGCUCAGCUUUCUUAGCCAUAGAAGUAGCUCCCCUGAAGCUUAAUUUCUCCUUUUAAUCCAAUACAUCCUUCCUGUCUUAUGCAAACUAUACUAAUGUGUGGGCAUCAGGUGUUCCCUGAAAUGAUACGUACUGUUCACUAGGUGGGCAUGCAUACAUGUCCUGGUGGUACAGUUAUGAGAAUUUUAGAGGGAGGGACAAAACUAAGCUUUGCAACAAAAGACACAUACAAGGAAGAAGUUACCAUAGUCCUAUGGAGUCUGUUGCCCUGCCAUGUAGCUGAAGGUUAAACAACCAUGAAGUAACAUGAGUCAGUUUGUGGUAGAAAGAACAUAACAUUGGACACAUGGUAAACACUUUUACAUUUAGCUUUGAAGAGGCUGCUUUAAGUGAGGAGGCUUUGGUAAAUCCGUCAUAAGAACUCCUGAAACAAAGGUAUUCUGUACAUUUCAUAAGUAGUGAAAGAAGACAUGAGUGGAAAGGUUAAUUAAAGCAAAUCAAGGAUAAGAAAUUAAGAAUUCUUUUUACCAGCCAUGUGC